rnacentral:lncRNA from 12 species
AAACAGCCUGUUACAGUUCAAAUCUUUCCUUGGUCCAUGCUCCUCACUGAAGAAUCUCAACAUGAUGAAGUAUUUUGAGUGCUAAGUUUCCUGUGCUGUUACUGCCUAAGCACACAGUGCUGUCCUUAUGCAAUGUAGAUGGAUACCUGCUCAACCCCUGUGAUGCUGUGAAGCUCCUGGGAUCUGAGGAAACAGGCUCAUCUCAGUCAGAAAUCAAGAGGAACCUGCAGGUUCAGUGAUGUGAUUUCAGAAACCUAAGUGGGAUCAGGGUUGUGUUGUACAACACUAUGAGAAGC